AGAGUUUGAUCCUGGCUCAGGACGAACGCUGGCGGCGUGCUUAACACAUGCAAGUCGAACGGAAAGGCCCGCAUCAUUUUUUGGUGGGGGUGCUCGAGUGGCGAACGGGUGAGUAACACGUGGGUGAUCUGCCCUGCACUUCGGGAUAAGCUUGGGAAACUGGGUCUAAUACCGGAUAGGACCAUGGUUUAGUAUCUCAUGGUGGAAAAAUGUUUUUUUGGUGUAGGAUGAGCCCGCGGCCUAUCAGCUUGUUGGUGGGGUAAUGGCCUACCAAGGCGUCGACGGGUAGCCGGCCUGAGAGGGUGGACGGCCACAUUGGGACUGAGAUACGGCCCAGACUCCUACGGGAGGCAGCAGUGGGGAAUAUUGCACAAUGGGCGCAAGCCUGAUGCAGCGACGCCGCGUGGGGGAUGACGGCCUUCGGGUUGUAAACUCCUUUCGUUAGGGACGAAGCCGCACUUUUUUUGGGUGUGGUGACGGUACCUUUGUUAAGAAGCACCGGCUAACUACGUGCCAGCAGCCGCGGUAAUACGUAGGGUGCGAGCGUUGUCCGGAAUUACUGGGCGUAAAGAGCUCGUAGGUGGUUUGUUGCGUCGUCUGUGAAAUUCCGGGGCUUAACUUCGGGGUGGCAGGCGAUACGGGCAUAACUAGAGUGCUGUAGGGGAGACUGGAAUUCCUGGUGUAGCGGUGGAAUGCGCAGAUAUCAGGAGGAACACCGAUGGCGAAGGCAGGUCUCUGGGCAGUAACUGACGCUGAGGAGCGAAAGCAUGGGGAGCGAACAGGAUUAGAUACCCUGGUAGUCCAUGCUGUAAACGGUGGGCGUUAGGUGUGGGGACUGGUUUUGGUUUCUGUGCCGUAGCUAACGCAUUAAGCGCCCCGCCUGGGGAGUACGGCCGCAAGGCUAAAACUCAAAGGAAUUGACGGGGGC
rnacentral:rRNA from 1 species